rnacentral:rRNA from 1 species
ACACGGAGGGCGCAAGCGUUGCUCGGAAUCACUGGGCGUAAAGCGGGUGUAGGCGGUCUAGCAAGUCAGAUGUGAAAGCCCACGGCUCAACCGUGGAAGUGCAUCUGAAACUGCUAGACUUGAGUGCCGGAGAGGGAAGUGGAAUUCCUGGUGUAGGGGUGAAAUCCGUAGAUAUCACGAGGAACACCGGUGGCGAAGGCGACUUCCUGGACGGCCACUGACGCUGAGACCCGAAAGCGUGGGGAGCAAACAGGAUUAGAAACCCCAGUAGUCC